rnacentral:rRNA from 1 species
UACGAAGGGGGCUAGCGUUGCUCGGAAUCACUGGGCGUAAAGGGUGCGUAGGCGGGUCUUUAAGUCAGGGGUGAAAUCCUGGAGCUCAACUCCAGAACUGCCUUCGAUACUGAGGAUCUUGAGUCCGGAAGAGGUGAGUGGAACUCCGAGUGUAGAGGUGAAAUUCGUAGAUAUUCGGAAGAACACCAGUGGCGAAGGCGGCUCACUGGUCCGGUACUGACGCUGAUGCGCGAAAGCGUGGGGAGCAAACAGG